GCGGUUAAAAAAUCUAGUUUAGCUAAAAUCUAAUAAACAUAUGAAAAUGAGAAAAAUAAACUAAUAUUAUGGAGAAGAUGACAAACUAUAAUAAAAGAUUGAUUAUGUUUCAUAUCCAAUCCAGUAAUAAAUAUGAUUUAAAAAUAUCCAGUAACAAAUAGUAUGAUUUUAAAACAGAAUAAUAAAAAUUGGUCCUAAAUCGUGAAAGUUACAAAAUUUUGCAAAAUAGUUAUAUGUCUAAUUAAAAUGUUUGAAUAGUUAUAUUAUUUAAAUUAAUGAUUCAACUAAAACUAAUUAUAAAUCAGUAAUUUAGCUAAAACCUAAUAAAAUAAUAAAUAAACAAAAUAAACUAAGAUUAUGGAAAAUAUGACAAAACAUCAAAUUUACUUCUCAAAUAAUAGUAUAGAUAUAACAAACUGAAAACAAUGAUACUACAUUCAACAAUAUUAUGCAUUUACGUUUCUUUGAUCUUUUGUUUAAGGCAUCUACAAACCUACUCUAUUUUUUUCUCCAAAAUGGAGUAAAAGAGAAUAUAGAAUAAAAAAUGUUCUAACCAUACUCCAUAUCUCACUACAUAAUGAUAUUUACGUCAUAUAUAGAGUAAUCUAUUUUUUUUUGUUCAUUACUCCAAAAAUGGAGUAGGGUUGGAGAAAAAAAUAGAGUUUUACAUUGGAGACGUUCUAAAUCAAUGAGGUGAAACCAUUGAUGCUUUGGUAUGAAGUGAAACAGAGACCUGAGCCAAGUGCAAAAAAAGAAGAAGAAGAUCUGAGCCAAGUGGAUCAAUGAAAACAGCUCAGCAAGAUGUAGAUGGGAUGUUGAACUUAUUUGGUGGCAAUUAAUUAUCUCUUUACCCAAAGCCCCACACUAAUCAUAAUGGGUUUUGAUGAUUCUCAAAAUUAUUUACUAAUUAAAAUUUUAUACAAAUUAUAAACCAGUUGGACUCUUGGAUUAUUUAAGGGAAAUUUACCAAAAACAACUUAUAUAUUCAUUUUAAACAUAAAAGUGUACCAUAUAUUCAUUCAAAUGUAAAACCAACCUAAAUGGUGGUAAAAUUACUAUUUAAACCUUAUGACCAAACAAAAAAACCAGAAAGUUAUUUUACGAUUUUGCUCGGAAUUCUACACGUAAUAGAAAGAAGUCUACACAUAUGUAAACCUACUAAGAAGUCUACUUUGUAGAUUUACUCUGUAGUCUACAUCGUAAUUUAAUCUAAUAAUUUAAUUUUAAAAAUGUAUAAAAAUAGUUUUUGUGAAACUUUUAAUUAAGCAUCAAUAUAAAAGUUAAUAUGAAGUAUAUAAAUUAAAAUUUUAUAUAACUGAACAAUUUAAAAGAAUAUAUAUAUUUGGUAACAUGUGUUAGAUAAUGUUUAUGGUUUAGCAACAAAAUGUUCUAACAUGUUAUGUCUUUAAGGGUUAGAAUCUUAGGGUUAGAUUUUAGAUAAAAAAUUUCUUUUCUUUUAUUGACUUAAAUUUGCAUAUUAAUGUUGAGUAGUUUAUAUUUUGUAUAUGUCAAUAUUUGAUGCAAUAAUUGAAAUUUUUUUAUUAUCAAGCAAACAUUUUGGGUUCAAGAUUUGUGGUUUAGGGUAUAGUAGAAAUACAAUAAAGUCUACUUCAUUGUAGACGUCUACAAAAAAAAUCCUUAUUUUAAAUUUACUUCUUUAUAAAUAAAAAUGUAAAAUAAUAUAUUAUAACUAUUAAAAAAUAAAAAAAGAAAUUUAGUAAAUCAUAUAUUAAAAUUGAAACAAUAAAGAAAGAAGAAAACAAGAAAAAUCAUUGCAGACUUCUAACGAGGUCUACCCUACUCACUGGUAGCAAUUUAACCCAACUGGAAUUAACCAAUUUAAUUUUAACCUAACCGAACUUAAACCUAUUCUUUUUAACAUAAUGUGAAAUCAUAUAUUAAAAUUAUUAGAAGACUACGGAACGAAAUUAAAUUUGUAUAUUAAUUUUUCUAAAACAAUAAAGAGCAAAAAAAGUUCUAGUAGACUAAGUUGUAAGUAUACCAAAUCGGAAACCAUUUGAAUUUACAAAAAUCAAAAUAAUUUUGAUUAAUUUUAGUUUCUGUAUGAAUAAAUUAAAAUUAUAGUCUUCAAAUUAAUACUCAAAAAUUGUAAGAUCAUAUAUUAAAAUUAUUAAAACAAUAAAGAAUACCCAACAAUAAUAAAAGUAUCAUAGUAACCUUCCAAAAAAGUCUUCUACGUAGACUUACAAUAAAGUAUAUUCUAAGAUUUCGUAAAAUGGCUGCAGAAGUUUUUAAAAAUCUUUCACUUCUCGCUAAAACUCUCUCUGUUAUCUCUAAAACUCUCUCAUUUCUCUGUAAAUUCUUUGAAUGUGAAGAAAAGUUUUGUUUAAAUUGUUAAUCUCUUAUCAUGUCUUUCUCACAAUAUUAUCUUGUUUUUGUUGGUACUAUUAUUCAUGCUUUUCAUUUUCUCCUCUAAUUUUAUAUCUAUUGAUUUUAAAUGUUUAUUUUUAUAUUUAUAUUCAAAUAAAGUUAUAGAUUCAAAUUCUAUGCAUUUACUUUGUUACUAUUUUAUCUUAUAAGUUCUAUUUUUGAAGUUUUUUCAGAUUUAAAAUUAUUUUUCACAUUUCAAAAUGUAAGAUCUUAUCAGAUCUGAAAUAAAUUGAUAGAGUAGACUUAUAAUAAAGUCUGCUUAUAAGUUAAAGUUAGUAGACUUUAAAUCUAAUAAACCACAUUUUUUAAGAAGACUUCAUAGCAAGUCUAUAAAAUAUUCUUAAUUUUUUUUUAGAUCUAAAGUUACUCAUCUUAUUAAGGGAAAUUGCACCCAGUGACUAAGAAAAAAAACAAAAUUAACUAAACAACCAAAAACACACUCUCUCUCCUCUUUUAUCUUCCUAUCUCUCUCUACUCUCUCUCCAGAAAACUAAUUUUGUUUAUUUUCUUGGUUAUUUCACAAAUAACCCCUCUUAUUAAUGUAUAUACUUUCACAUCCAAAAAUUAAAAUAGAAACACCACUCACGCCGCCGACCAGAGAUAUCAGAUAGCGAAGGGGUAAAUAUCAAAACUUCUUCUUUAGUUAACAACUAGAGAUUAACCCACACAUCCACACGGGUAUUGUUUCUUACAUUCUUAUACAUUGAUAUUUGUUUUUCAUAAUUUGUGUUAUAUAUUUUAUAUGAGUCGUAAUAUAAGUAAUUUAUAUUUGAUACAAAUAUCCGAACUCAUUUUAGAUAAAUUUGUUAUUUAUCUAUACAUCAGAACCGAACUCAUCCAGACCCCGAAGAACCCGAAUCAAAACCCACACAUAAAUUUAUAAUAUUCAAACUGGACAUAAUUUCAAAACAAAAAAAAACGAUACCCUAAAAGAAUAACCCGUACUUAAAUGGAUAGCCAAUGUUCAUGCCUAACUGAUUUUAUAAACUAAUAAAAAAGAUUCUUUCUAUGUGUUUGGCUAAAUUAAAUGAAAAAUAAUGUGUUUUUUAUUUAGUAAAAUAAUUAUAUGGACUGAAAAACUAAGUGACAAUAAAUGUAAUACAUUUUUAUUAUUUUGAUUUAAGUUAUUAUUUUAUUCAUAAAAACAUGUAUUUGAAUUAUGUUUUUAGCCACGUAAUUUUCUACCGAUUGAAACUAAAAUUAAAAAAAAUUAGUAAAACAAAAAAAAAACAAAUGUUUAUCCAUAUGCAAAACCCAACUAUUUUAUUAUAUUUGGCACAAAGUUAAUGUUGAUUAACUAAUAAAUAAAUAUAUGCACUAUUAUUAUUAUUGUAAUAUAGUUAAUAAUGUUAUGUAUUGUUAAGAUAAUAUAGUUAAUGAAAUUGUUAAAGUAAGUGAAAUAUGAAAGGAAAAUUAAUGUAAUUAUAUUAUUAAAAUUACUAAAAAUAACUAUACUUCCUUUUUUAUAUAGCUAACCAUGCUUCCAAACAAUUCUCAUUUAUACUGCUAUUCAUAUUUCCAAACAGUAACAAAAUGUACUUCAGUUUAAUAAUAUAGAUAAAGGGUUGAUAGAAACAAACUAACUCAUUGUAGUUUUUGUUGCUGAUCAAGUUUAGGUAGUAUGAUGAAGAAGGAUUCUUAGGUAGCAUGGUAUACUAUAUUUUUUCUGGCACCAGGUGCAUAAAUAUAAAUUUUAAAUUUUUAAAUUAUAUUUUGUUAUUUGCUUACAAUAUUUAAUUUUAAAUUUAAUAAUAUGUAAUAUUUAAGAUAUAUAUAUUAUUUAAAUUUAAAUAUAAUAAUAUAUAUAUAAUUAUAAUCCUGGAAAGAUUUUUAAUCUAUUUCUUUGGGUUAAAAUAUAUUCAAUCAAAUUUUAUAAAAAUAAGAAAUUUUUUUGUUAGGUAUAUAACUAUCAAAACGUAAAACAAAUAAUAUUUUAAAAUUUGUAGAUAUUAAAAAGAAACUAAUGGUAUUGAAAUUAAGAAAACAUGUUUUAAAAAAAGUGCAUAAAAUUUGGAAGAAUUGUUUUAGUAAUAAAAAUUAUAUAAUUAUAAAAUAUAAUUAAAUAAUAUUUCAAAAAAUUUAAAAUAUUAUUAUAUUUCUAUGUCUAUUAUUAUAUUAUUUGUUGUUCUAUUAAUGAUGAUCUAUGAUUGAUUACUAUAUUCUAGAAAACUUACCAAAAAUAUAAAUCAACACUAAAUGUAAAAUGUCUAUGUCACAAUUAGCUUGAAACCAUGUCACCAUUGUUAGUGUGUCUUGUCAUCACAAAAUCAUUAUGGUGAUGAUACAUGACAAAUUAAGGAUAUUCAUAUAGUAUAUGAUCUUUGUAUAAAAAGCAUUUUUCUUAUCUUGAAGUAUAUAUUUAACAUUAACAUAAAUUAAACAUAAACUAUUUUUUCUUAUAAACUGAAAUUUUUUUCUCUUAACAUGAUUUAUUUUACCAAUUGUAGUUUUUAUAAGUAAUUUUAUCUUAUUUGGAUGAGUUUAAAUUAACACCAAUUUUAUUUAUUUAAAUCAGUUCGGAGACUUGGGUUAAAUGAAUCUUUUUAGAUAAUUUUAUUAAUAUUGGCAAAAAAUAUCUUGAACUUUUAAGUUCUCAUAUAUAUAUACUAUAUGGUAAAAUGUAUUACAAAAUUUGUUGACCAACCAAUUUUCGAAAAAAUGGCACAAUUGUAUCUAAACUCAUAAGUGAGUAGUACAACCAAUUAUCUAUUUUGUGUUAGUAGUUUUGUUUUGUAAUAUUUUUUUUAUUUUGUCAUUCAAUAGUUUUCUUUAAUUUCUGGGACUAAUAUAACCUGCAGAAACAAAAAUUAGAAAUAAUUAUAUUAUCAAUAUUUUUGUUCGAUUUAACAUGAAAUUAAAACUAUAGAAAUGCUCACAAACUUUCUAUAUAAACUUUUUAUAAAAAA